CAGAGGGGGAUAGCCCGGGGAAACCCGGAUUAAUACCGCAUAAGAUAGUUGAAGGGCAUCCUUUGAUUAUGAAACAUUUAUGGCUGAUGGAUGGGCAUGCGUUAGAUUAGCUAGUUGGCGGUGUAACAGACCACCAAGGCAAUGAUCUAUAGGGGUUNUGAGAGGAAGAUCCCCCACACUGGUACUGAGAUACGGACCAGACUCCUACGGGAGGCAGCAGUAGGGAAUAUUGGGCAAUGCCCGCAAGGGUGACCCAGCCAUGCCGCGUGCAGGAAGAAGGCCUUUCUGGGUUGUAAACUGCUUUUGGAAGGGAACAAAACGGCUUCUGCGGAGCAACUUGAGUGUACCUUCAGAAUAAGCA
rnacentral:rRNA from 1 species